rnacentral:rRNA from 1 species
UGGGGAAUAUUGGGCAAUGGGCGAAAGCCUGACCCAGCAACGCCGCGUGAGGGAAGAAGGGUUUCGGCUCGUAAACCUCUGUCCUAUGGGACGAAGAAGAUGACGGUACCAUAGGAGGAAGCCCCGGCUAACUACGUGCCAGCAGCCGCGGUAAUACGUAGGGGGCGAGCGUUGUCCGGAAUGAUUGGGCGUAAAGGGCGCGUAGGCGGCCUAUUAAGUCUGGAGUGAAAGUCCUGCUUUCAAGGUGGGAAUUGCUUUGGAUACUGAUGGGCUGGAGUGCAGGAGAGGAAAGCGGAAUUACCGGUGUAGCGGUGAAAUGCGUAGAGAUCGGUAGGAACACCAGUGGCGAAGGCGGCUUUCUGGACUGAAACUGACGCUGAGGCGCGAAAGCGUGGGGAGCAAACAGGAUUAGAUACCC